ACCACACGCUCACACACACACACGGAGACACACACGGACAGACACCCGCGCACCCCCCCCCCCCAUAGCCGCAUGGGCAUUCCACACGUGUGUGAGGGCUCGCCGGGCCGUGGCAUGCAUUCGGCAGUGGUUACUGUGUAUGGGGGGAGGAGGGAGCAGAGGGCCCUGUCCCCCCGCCCAUCUCUCCCUCUCCUCCAGCACCCCGACCCACCGCCCCACCCUCCACCUUGGCUGUGGGACCCGCGCCGGCGAUGCAGCCCGAGGAGAAAUAAAGUCUGAACAAAGCUAGACUACGCGACAGUCACGUCUCAGGGAAACUGACUGGCGUGAGCGCAGCCUCUGGAAGGAAUCCGAUCACUUAGAAGCCAAACAAAGCCCGCUUUCCUGUUGUUUGGUUGUUAUUUUUAUUUUAUUUCAUUUCAUUUUUUAAGACGGGCGAGAAAUGCGCACUUUCGGUUCAGCUAGGCUAACCCUCUACUUCGCCAAGGCGCACGCAUGUGGAGAGGAGACUGCAGCGAGCGGGAUUGCUAGGGGAAGGACGUGCUGUGAGGACAUUCCCAGGGAAACGUCUGAAACUGCCUUCGGGUGAAGUGGAUCCUUUCCAACCUUUCUCUUGUCCCAAUCCCACAGUUCUUUUAAGAAAACAGAGUCUCCUUCAUCACACACUUCUAGAGUUCAUUAGAUUGCAACAUAUUUCCAGAUUUUAAGAAACUUUUCACAGUAGUCUCUAAGAUUGACUCGCCAUCAGAGCAUGGAGAAGCAAAUCCUCUUUCAAGGUAGGGUCCAGAUGAAGAAAGCGAUCGACGAUUUAAAAAGAACCGUGUCCCUCUCCAAUGAAUAACUAAACCACAGUUUUUAACUUCUGAACCGCAAAGUCUUGCGACUGUGGGGCUGGGAAGCCCGGGGAUCGGGGUGACUGACUCACUGGAGGCCGGCAGAGACUAUGAAAACAACAGAUCCACAGACCUCCAGGGUUGCUGGGAGAAAGGCAAACUUUUCACUACUUUUCGCAGCCAGUCGCGCACACACGUGUUUUGUGAAUGUCUGGGGUGGAGGGGGUGGGGAAGCUGGAAAUGCCCCUAGCAAACCCCACACUUGGACACCGAAUAACCGCUCUGAAAAAAACUUGUACUCGAUAACUGGGAGGAUCGCCUCAGAUCUUGGGAAGGUGUGUGCAGAUCCACGCUCGUGGGUGGGAGCCCGUUCUGGCUAGACACACGGACUCUGAGAGCAAAGAAUACGUCCAAAUUGGGUCCACACCCUCUCCCGGAUGUCUGGGUUUGGACACACCACGGACCCGAAGCCUUAGCGCUCUCUCUGUUUAUGUUUUGUGUGUUGCAAGUUAGAGAGAGGCACAGCCCGGGACCAGCUUGCGGCUUUCCAGCCUCACCGACGCACGGGUUUCCUGAGGCUCUGAAAAGGCCCGGCAGCCGCAGAAAGCGGGACAAAAAGUCUGUGGCCCAGGCGGGGGAGAGAAGUUUGCAGAGACCACAAGAGAAAUUGAUUUACGGCUCCCCUUGUGCCAGCGAUUACUGGGCUAAGAUGUGUCGGCCGCCGCGGCGCUGGGGCUUUUUCGCAGACUUUGAGGCUAGUUUAAAAUGUUUGCUCUAGGAAAGCCAGGAAUUACCAUCACAGCCCUCUUUCUCCCCUUUACAUUACCUCUCCAACCUAGUAACCCCCGCCUCCCGAUGUCCCUGUCCCUUUGGGGGACACCCCGCAGCUGUAGCGGUCUUUGUUAAUAUUCCUCUUCAGAGAUACCCGCGAGUUUAUUUACAGUUUUUCAUGCGCCCGGACGCACGGCAGUUUCUAAAUGUUGCAGUUUAUAACCACUGCGAGGGUUGAUUCUAGAGGAGCCCUGGAGCAAUGAACUGGUUUUCCCCCUAAAGCAGUGUGGAAAGGGGUGCGGAAGUCACGUUUGAUUUUCCUGCCGAAUCCCGAAUCUCCUGUUCUCUUUUCCUCGGCACACUCUGAUAGUUUUUUUGGCACCGAGCAGCUGCAUGAAUGUAGGGAAUACUCAUGUACACGGUCUGUUAUCUUUGCUUAACAUCAGGGGGAUUACUUUAAUAUGCCAGUUCCCAGUUUGUUUUAUGAAAGAAGGAAAGAGAGAAAGAAAGAAAGAAAAAAGGGAGGGAGAAAGGAGAAAGAAAUGGAGAAAGAAAAAGCAAAAAGAAAAAGUAAGAAGCAAAGAGAAAGAAAGAAAAGUAGAGAGGAAGGAGAAAGAAAAAAUGAAGAGAGGAAGAAAAGAAGAAAAGAGAGAGGGGGAAAAGGGGGCAAACUUCACCAACUGUACGACAUGAUCAAUGGACCCAGUGCCAACUGCGUUUUCUUUUUGUACCCACUCAGCUCCCGCAAGCAGGUUCUCGGUUGCUUAGUCCACAAACAGCCAAAGCUUCGGAACACCGCAGCUCAACCAGUCUGCCUGUUUGAAGCCAGCCGACCCUACGAAGACAGUUCCCCGAGCAAAGAAAGCCCUUGGGAGGGCGGAGGAGGUCACCCCUUG